AGAGUUUGAUCAUGGCUCAGAUUGAACGCUGGCGGCAUGCUUUACACAUGCAAGUCGAGCGGCAGCGCGGGGCAACCUGGCGGCGAGCGGCGAACGGGUGAGUAAUGGAUAGGAACGUAUCCGGGAGUGGGGGGAUAACUAGCCGAAAGGUUAGCUAAUACCGCAUAUUCUGUGCGCAGGAAAGCGGGGGACCUGAAAGGGCCUCGCGCUCGCGGAGUGGCCUAUCUCCGAUUAGCUAGUUGGUGAGGUAAAGGCUUACCAAGGCGACGAUCGGUAGCUGGUCUGAGAGGAUGAUCAGCCACACUGGGACUGAGACACGGCCCAGACUCCUACGGGAGGCAGCAGUGGGGAAUUUUGGACAAUGGGCGAAAGCCUGAUCCAGCCAUGCCGCGUGCGGGAAGAAGGCCUUCGGGUUGUAAACCGCUUUUGGCAGGAACGAAACGGCGCGAGCUAAUACCUCGCGUUAAUGACGGUACCUGCAGAAUAAGCACCGGCUAACUACGUGCCAGCAGCCGCGGUAAUACGUAGGGUGCAAGCGUUAAUCGGAAUUACUGGGCGUAAAGCGUACGCAGGCGGCUUGGUAAGACAGAUGUGAAAUCCCCGGGCUCAACCUGGGAACUGCAUUUGUGACUGCCAAGCUCGAGUCUGUCAGAGGGGGGUGGAAUUCCACGUGUAGCAGUGAAAUGCGUAGAGAUGUGGAGGAACACCGAUGGCGAAGGCAGCCCCCUGGGAUGAGACUGACGCUCAUGUACGAAAGCGUGGGGAGCAAACAGGAUUAGAUACCCUAGUAGUCC
rnacentral:rRNA from 1 species